rnacentral:rRNA from 1 species
UACGAAGGGGGCUAGCGUUGCUCGGAAUCACUGGGCGUAAAGGGUGCGUAGGCGGGUCUUUAAGUCAGAGGUGAAAUCCUGGAGCUCAACUCCAGAACUGCCUUUGAUACUGAGGGUCUUGAGUAUGACAGAGGUGAGUGGAACUGCGAGUGUAGAGGUGAAAUCGUAGAUAUUCGCAAGAACACCAGUGGCGAAGGCGGCUCACUGGGUCACUUACUGACGCUGAGGCACGAAAGCGUGGGGAGCAAACAGG